rnacentral:rRNA from 1 species
ACGCUCGACACCUACGGGAGGAGCAGUGGGGAAUAUUGGGCAAUGGGCGCAAGCCUGACCCAGCAACGCCGCGUGAAGGAAGAAGGCUUUCGGGUUGUAAACUUCUUUUCUCAGGGACGAAGGAAGUGACGGUACCUGAGGAACAAGCCACGGCUAACUACGUGCCAGCAGCCGGUAAUCUGAGCGGGCUGGCAAGGC